GAAUCAUAUUUUCCCAACAGUUCUCAAGAAACCCAAGCGUUUUGAUUGUCCCCAAUUCAAGCCAAUCUAAUUGAUAAUCAUUGAAAUUGAUGGCACUAUCAUUCUCGGUAGCUAAAUGUGAUGGAAGAUGUUCUUAAACAACACAAUAAUCAACAACUUGAUUUGGAUUCCCCGUAGAGCAGAGGAAGCUGGUAUGUGCGAGCGGCGGCUAGGGUUUUGCCAUAUUUUAGGUGGAAUGGGGUCAGAGCAGGAUCUCCAUCCCGAUUGGGGUCAAACCGAUCGAAUUCUGGCUCUGCUAUGCUAACUCUAUUGGCUACAUGCGAUGUUAUUGGAUCGACAGGUAUUAUUUUAUUGUGUUUUCUCGCAGAGUGCUUCAGGAGGAGGAGUGCUGGAUUGACUUAACUCAAAUACAAGGAAGAUGAGCAAGAAGAACCCACUUGUAUACUUGGACGUGUCUAUAGAUGGAGAUCCUAUUGAAAGAAUGGUUUUUGAGCUCUUCUCAGGUACUGUUCCUAAAACUGCUGAGAAUUUUCGGGCACUUUGUACUGGAGAAAAGGGGAAUGGUCAGAAAACUGGAAGACCCUGCACUACAAGGGAUCCUUUUUCCAUCACAUAAUUAAAGGAUCUUUGGCUCAGGCAUAUGUCUAUUGGUGUUAUGUCAAACGGCUUGCGAAGUAGACAGCAACCAAGACUUGGAAUCCCAGAAAGAAGUGUCAUUCGUAAGGCUGGAAGCAUAUAUCUUCAUAAACAUGGAGAAGUUGACGGGUCAAAAGUACGCGUGCAGGUCGAUAUUGAAGAAAAAACUUGUGACGCAACCAACUCCUGGGGAUUAUGUAAUGCUUGCUUAUCACCAUUGAUGUGGGGAUUAACAACCAAAAACUAUUGCUUGAUGAGUUUUAUAUUGGUCUCAAACACAAGAAUGCCACUCGAAAGGAAUAUUAUGACUUACUUGAAGAGUUAUGUCUGCAGUCAAGCAAAGCUAUGGUCAAAAAGUGUUUGUGCAGUGUCUCUUAAAACUUAGAUUUACCCAAUAGCUCAUAAAUGUACCUAUCAGCCAAAUAUAAAACCACUCAGUUGGCGUUCAGUGAUGAUAUUUAUAUUGUUGAUUGAUGAUUUUCUAUUCAAACUCAACAACUUUCAUGUAGUUAGAUAACCUCAAUUUUACUCUACAGAACUAGGCAUUAGGCAUGGUGUCGGGCCGGGCGGGUUUGAGAUGCGGGUCAGAAUGGGUAGUUCAAAACAGGUUGGUUCAGUAAGGGUUACUUUUGUUCGGAUCGGGCUUGAGCGCUUAACCCAACGCUCGACUUGUGCGGUUCUGGGCUACGCUUGCACCGGGUUGCGACAUUGGAUUUGUUCAAAAGGUCUUAUCUUCUUCCAUCUCAAUUUACUCAUUGAUAUGCGCAGAAAGAAACACACAGUUUCCCCCGGUUUGAAAAAUAAUACCAACCCAUGCUGACCCAUUUGAAAUAUAACACCGACCCAUUGUGACCCAUUUCAUUAGAAAGGGUUGUCUCCAUCAACCCACACUGGCCCGUUUCAAUUUAUGCCACCUUCUAAAUAGUUUUAUUCAAUAAUAUAUAUUUAUUUUUGUAAUGAUAUACUCUGUGGCCCCACCCGACCAGACCUGACUAACUUUAGUAAAUUUUUGUGAAGAUUGUACCAAAGUUUUGAUUUCUUGGAAGCUUUUGAUUAAUAACCAAGAUGCAAUUUGAGUUUUGUAUCGGUGAGUUCGUCACCUGGAAGUGGAGACACAACAGUCAUCGAGGCAAGCGGCGUCCGAGGUGUCGAGCUAGACCUUAGGCAAGAGAUCAAAGAGGCAUUUGAGUUGUUUGAUACUGAUGGGUCUGGUACCAUUGAUGCCAAGGAGUUGAAUGUUGCUAUCAGCGAAGAGUUCAGGAAGACGUUCAAGAAAGACAAUUGAAAUGUGAAAGUUGUUUCAGCUGUCGGGAAACCUGCUGGAGAGAAGUGGAAAUAUUUGAGUGCAGAUGUACGCAAAAUAUGGUUUUCGAUCUUUCAUAGUUUCAUAUAUAUGGCAUACUUUUUAACUUCAGUCAUUCAAUCAAGUAGUUAUGUAGUAAUCCUAUCAAUCAAUAAAUAUGUUUUUAUCACCCAGUUUGUUCGAAAGUAUUGGCUAUUGAUCACAGGGACAUGCUGGGACAGUUAGCAUUUCUUCGCU